GGCGGCUGGCGGUCAGGCAGCACGCUGGGUGCAAGCCAGAGCCUGGGGCACCUGCGGUCCCUCCGAGGCUCCUGGCGUGCACCCAGGUCCGUGGCGAGAGGUGCUGCGCUCUGCUGUGGUUUGCCCGAGGAGCAAAGCACAGGCUGCGGGCUCCCACCCAAGCCCAGGGGUGCUGCAGUCCCUGCAGGCCUCUGCGCAGAGAACAGCACACGUGUACGCGCUCUGGCGUGCAGAGGGCAAGGGUGUGAUGGCUUCUGCUAGCCUGGGGCUUGUUUCAGACCGCCUUGUCCUCUGUUUAAUUUUUAGGUUGGUGAUAAGGUAAUGGUCCUGGCUAGGUCAGGGCUCUGGCAAGAAGUGGUGAACGUGCCAGCGAGUCAGACUUUCCUGAUGCCCGAGGGGAUGAGCUUCGAGGAAGCGGCUGCUCUUCUUGUCAACUACAUCACUGCCUACAUGAUCCUGUUUGAUUUUGGAAACCUGCGACCCAACCAGAGUGUCCUCAUCCACAUGGCUGCAGGUGGUGUGGGAACUGCUGCCAUCCAGCUGUGCAAGACUGUAGAAAAUGUCACCAUUUUUGGCACAGCAUCUGCCUCCAAGCAUGAUUCGCUCAAGGAGAGCGGAGUCGCUCACCCCAUUGACUACAGAACGAUGGAUUACGCAGAGGAGGUCCGGAAAAUCUCUCCCAAAGGUGUUGAUAUUGUCCUGGACCCCCUGGGAGGAUCCGAUACGUCCAAAGCAUUUAACCUGUUGAAGCCGAUGGGCAAACUCAUCACUUACGGGGUAGCAAACUUGCUCACUGGGCAGAAGAAGAACCUCAUGGCUAUGGCCAAAACCUGGUGGAACCAGUUCAGCAUCAAUGCCUUGCAGCUCCUACACCAUAACAAGGCUGUGUGUGGCUACCACCUUGGAUAUAUGGAUGAAGAAUUUGAGCUUGUCGGAGGUGUUGUAGCCAAGCUGGUUAACCUGUACAGUCAAGGCAAAAUCAAGCCCAAAAUAGACUCUGUAUGGCCCUUUGAUCAGGUGGCAGAUGCCAUGAGGCAGAUGCAGGAGAAGAAGAAUGUUGGAAAGGUCAUCCUGGUUCCCGAAGCACCCAAGGAAGAAUCCAAAAAAGAAGAGAACUAAGGAGAAGAGAUGUGUGCAGAUUGUGAAUUCAUGGUUUAACUCCCUGAUCUUUGGGACCUGGAAAUGGACAGAUCAGUAGCUUCCAUCUUCACCAGUACAAGAACAUCGUGGUUAAAGUUCAGAUGAGGUCUGACAACAGAAGGACUGUCUAAAUUGCUGAAAUGGGAAGUCUGGACCCGUUCCUCUGCGAAACUGGACUUCACCUUGAUGAAAGAGCAGCGUGCUCAAACGGCACACAACCCUGCACAUCUUCAGGCUCUGCACGCUUGUAAAGGGGGAAAACUAUCAAAUUGUGUUUCACAGGAACAUCCUCUCCUUGCUUUACUCUGGGCUAAGCGCAUGCUCAGUGCCUUACUUGGAUGGCCUUGGAUGAGGCAGCGUAGCAAGGCUCUCGCAGUCUGUCCCUCCUGAUGCAGCGUGAAGGAGGAAAGCGGGAGUCUUGCAGCUUCCCGUAGGACACCUGACAUGCUGCCUUGCGGUACGCCACAGAAAACACUAUCUCAGUGCCUUCUUCGACAUGCCUGUAAGGACUAGGAAGUCACUGGAGCCUUUUCCAUUCUGGCCUUUCAAAGUAUUGCCAAAAACCUGUUACGACUCUUGCUAGCUCUGUUUUGUGAACACUGGUGAUGUAGUCUGACUUACCGCGAAUAAAAAGCUCCCUUUCCAUGUAUUAGAGCCUUCCCAGGGCCGUGCUGGUGGUUCUGUGCUCCCCCGUCCAGCAGAGCUAUUGUAGAGCCCUUGUUUCCCCCUGAUGUUUGGCUCCGGCCGGUCCUCGAGGGAGGCUUUAUCAGCUGCCCCAGCCUUGGCUCUCCGGAAACAAUCCUGGCUCCCCACUCUCUUUGGGUUAGCUCCUCAUGUAUCUUCUACCUACAAAUUCCCCAAGCCCUUAUCAGGGUGAGAGUGCAAAGCUGUUACUAUCUGUUAGAAUUUAGCACUGACUGUUUUAUGUC